rnacentral:rRNA from 1 species
GCAAAUCCGCUUUGAUAAUGCUGGGGUGUGAUGGGGAGCGAAAUUUAGUAGCGAAGUAGCAGAUGUCACGCUGUGAAGAAAAGUCGCGAUCGGGGUGAAAGGGACCCGUGCCGGGAACCGAGACGGGGGGGUGAGGAGAGUAUCCGAAGGCCAGCGAGAGAACUGUGGUGAAGGAGCUCGGCAAAAUGACCCCGUAACUUAGGGAUAAGGGGUGCCACCAUCAGGUGGCCGCAGAGAAUAGGCCCAAGCGACUGUUUACCAAAAACAUAGGUUUCUGCUAAGUCGCAAGACGAUGUA